CCUACGGGGGGCAGCAGUAGGGAAUCUUCCACAAUGGGCGAAAGCCUGAUGGAGCAACGCCGCGUGGGUGAAGAAGGUCUUCGGAUCGUAAAACCCUGUUGUUAGAGAAGAAAAUUCGUGAGAGUAACUGAUCACGUUUCGACGGUAUCUAACCAGAAAGCCACGGCUAACUAUGUGCCAGCAGCCGCGGUAAUACGUAGGUGGCAAGCGUUAUCCGGAUUUAUUGGGCGUAAAGGGAACGCAGGCGGUCUUGUAAGUCUGAUGUGAAAGCCUUCGGCUUAACCGGAGUAGUGCAUUGGAUACUGGGAGACUUGAGUGCAGAAGAGGGAAGUGGAACUCCAUGUGUAGCGGUGAAAUGCGUAGAUAUAUGGAAGAACACCAGUGGCGAAGGCAGCUCACUGGUCUGUAACUGACGCUGAGGUUCGAAAGCGUGGGGAGCAAACAGGAUUAGAUACCCUAGUAGUC
rnacentral:rRNA from 1 species